rnacentral:piRNA from 1 species
UGUAAAAUGCACUAAUCAGCACUCUGU